GAUGAACGCUGGCGGCGUGCCUAAUACAUGUAAGUCGAGCGAAUGGAUUGAGAGCUUGCUCUUAUGAAGUUAGCGGCGGACGGGUGAGUAACACGUGGGUAACCUGCCCAUAAGACUGGGAUAACUCCGGGAAACCGGGGCUAAUACCGGAUAACAUUUUGAACCGCAUGGUUCGAAAUUGAAAGGCGGCUUCGGCUGUCACUUAUGGAUGGACCCGCGUCGCAUUAGCUAGUUGGUGAGGUAACGGCUCACCAAGGCAACGAUGCGUAGCCGACCUGGGAGGGUGAUCGGCCACACUGGGACUGAGACACGGCCCAGACUCCUACGGGAGGCAGCAGUAGGGAAUCUUCCGCAAUGGACGAAAGUCUGACGGAGCAACGCCGCGUGAGUGAUGAAGGCUUUCGGGUCGUAAAACUCUGUUGUUAGGGAAGAACAAGUGCUAGUUGAAUAAGCUGGCACCUUGACGGUACCUAACCAGAAAGCCACGGCUAACUACGUGCCAGCAGCCGCCGUAA
rnacentral:rRNA from 1 species